UGGGGGAGUCCAAGGCACACUACUUUCCCUUUGCUUUAGAAUCCCAAAGAUCUCCACGAUUCGGAGAUGCUGGACUCCCCUGGCUCUGACUGUUCAUUUCUUUCUGGGACGUUUUCCUCUCGCUUUGUGGGAGCCUCGGGUCUGCUGUCCACUCUGCCUCGGUGCUCUCUGAGCAGGCCAGAAGCCCCGGGGCAUCUUCUUCCUGUGUUCACCGUCCCUCUUCCUGAACCUCUGCACCCGGAGCCCAAAUACUCAUCUGUUUGGACUUUGGAGUCGCCUAUGCAGUCUCAGGUCCCUCUCGCUUCAGGAGAUCAGGGCAGUUUGCUCACCACCCUGCUACCCAGUCUCCCUGCCUCGCAGCUCUCCUGCCCGUUUCUUAGUGUUUCGUCCUUGCCUGCCUUUGCCUCUCGUUCUCUACCUGCCUAUCCCCUGCCUUUUUGCCUGUCCACCUGGCUUAGGCUUGGGGACCCCAGGCACUUGCCUGGGUACGGAAUGGGAUUCUAUAGGUUCGAUAGGAGUAGAUUCAGGGAACCAGGAGGUGGAAUUUUGUACUGGGACCAGAAUCUGCCGCCAGUCUUUGCAGCACCUUGGGGAGGAUCAAGGAGUCCCGGAGCGUCAAUCCCUUUGUGGUGAAGGGGGUUUGAACAAAAAUCUGAAAAUCGAGAAAAAGGAGCAAGGAGUGAAAACCAUUGUUGGAUACUCUUGGUUUUAACCUCGACAGCGCCACCUUUCGGCAAAGCUGUUCCUGGUUGCAAGUUGAAGCCUCUUUCCCUUUGAAGACACAUCCUUUAUAAUUUUUAUUAGAGAGCCUGAUGGAUGAACAAGCGUGGGUGCAAGCCAGUGGAUUGGAAGGCCAUCUUGGUGUCUUCAUAAGAAGCACUGAACUCUUCCUCAGAGGGGUCAGAAAACCUAAGUUCAGAUCCCAGCUCUGUCCAUAGCUGGUGCCUGGGGCAUAGAAAGAACUGAAUAAAUACUUGUUGUUGAUUUGGCUAGCUAA